rnacentral:rRNA from 1 species
GACGAACGCUGGCGGCGUGCUUAACACAUGCAAGUCGAACGGAAAGGCCCCUUUUGGGGUACUCGAGUGGCGAACGGGUGAGUAACACGUGAGUAACCUGCCCUUGACUUCGGGAUAAAUUCAGGAAACUGGGGCUAAUACCGGAUAGGAAUCCUUGCUGCAUGGUGGGGGUUGGAAAGCUUCGGCGGUUUUGGAUGGACUCGCGGCUUAUCAGCUUGUUGGUGGGGUAGUGGCUUACCAAGGCUUUGACGGGUAGCCGGCCUGAGAGGGCGACCGGCCACAUUGGGACUGAGAUACGGCCCAGACUCCUACGGGAGGCAGCAGUGGGGAAUAUUGCACAAUGGGCGGAAGCCUGAUGCAGCAACGCCGCGUGCGGGAUGACGGCCUUCGGGUUGUAGACCGCUUUCAGCAGGGGCGAAGCUUUUGUGACGGUACCUGCAGAAGAAGCACCGGCUAACUACGUG